AACGAACACUGGCGGCAGGCUUAACACAUGCAAGUCGAGCGCCCCGCAAGGGGAGCGGCAGACGGGUGAGUAACGCGUGGGAAUCUACCCAUCUCUACGGAAUAACGCAUGGAAACGUGUGCUAAUACCGUAUACGUCCUUCGGGAGAAAGAUUUAUCGGAGAUGGAUGAGCCCGCGUUGGAUUAGCUAGAUGGUGGGGUAAAGGCCUAACAAGGCGACGAUCCAUAGCUGGUCUGAGAGGAUGAUCAGCCACACUGGGACUGAGACACGGCCCAGACUCCUACGGGAGGCAGCAGUGGGGAAUAUUGGACAAUGGGCGCAAGCCUGAUCCAGCCAUGCCGCGUGAGUGAUGAAGGCCCUAGGGUUGUAAAGCUCUUUCACCGGUGAAGAUAAUGACGGUAACCGGAGAAGAAGCCCCGGCUAACUUCGUGCCAGCCGCCGCCGUAACAC
rnacentral:rRNA from 1 species